UACGUAGGGUGCAAGCGUUGUCCGGAAUUAUUGGGCGUAAAGAGCUCGUAGGCGGUCUGUCGCGUCGAAUGUGAAAACCCGGGGCUCAACCCCGGGCCUGCAUUCGAUACGGGCAGACUAGAGUUCGGUAGGGGAGUGCGGAAUUCCUGGUGUAGCGGUGAAAUGCGCAGAUAUCAGGAGGAACACCGGUGGCGAAGGCGGGUCUCUGGGCCGAUACUGACGCUGAGGAGCGAAAGCGUGGGGAGCAAACAGG
rnacentral:rRNA from 1 species